rnacentral:rRNA from 1 species
UACGUAGGGAGCAAGCGUUGUCCGGAAUCAUUGGGCGUAAAGCGCGCGUAGGCGGCCUCAUAAGUCCGUUGUGAAAGUCAAAGGCUCAACCUUUGAAAGCCGAUGGAUACUGUGAGGCUAGAGUCCGGAAGAGGCGAGUGGAAUUCCUGUGUAGCGGUGGAAUGCGCAGAUAUCAGGAGGAACACCAAUAGCGAAGGCAGCUCGCUGGGACGGUACUGACGCUAAGGCGCGAAAGCGUGGGGAGCGAACAGG